UGGGACGCCAUUGUGGGUGGGGGAGGGGUUUUAUACAUUUUCCGAUAGGUUGUAAACAAAUAGUCAAUCAGACACACAGCUUUUAUUUGGUACUUCUGAAAAUGAAUCAUCUCUCUUCUCACACUACGGCCACAGGAAUGAAGUGUUUCUCUUCUGGACGAAAGUGAGUUCUUGAAACAGAAGAACCAAGAGAGCCGCUGGAAGAACCAGCCUUGUCAGGACUUGAAUUACAGAGAGAAGAAAGCAGACCUCUUUCUCCCAUCUUCCAUUUGUAGAUAUGGCAUGUGACUAUGUUCUGGCUAAGGGGAUGUCUGCAGCUUGAAGUGGAGGGACAUGUCAUAACCCUCCCCCUUCGUCCCCCCUGCUAUCUGAAAAGCGGAUGUGGAAAGGAGCCAUGGAAAACCAGAAGGGUGAGAACAACACCAUAGACCUAGUGUAGCUGCAUGAUGAAAUUUCCUGGGUCUCUGGCAACUGAAGGAAUUGCUCUCCUCCAACUUUUACAUGACAGGGAAAUGAAACACUACUUUGUUUAAGAUACUGUUAUUUUGGGUCGAUAGUAUAAGCAGUCGAAGCUAUGUGCUAAUUCUUCCCAUGAACAGCCAGUUUUCAUAAGCCAGGCUUCAGAUGUCUGUAAGUCACACACACACAGUCCUGAUAACCUUAUGUUUUUAUUGUUCUAAGGAAUGACUUAAACUUUUUGCUAAACCAUCUGGACCUUAAUGUUGAAAUCUCUAAAAUCGUUGCUCCCGUGCUACCUACUGGGUUCUAUUCCUGGUAUACACAAGGAAUAAGGGGUGGAAAUGGG